rnacentral:rRNA from 1 species
AUGCAUGAGCACUUCACCGGUGUCAUGGGGCGUGGGGCUAACCACCCGGUGGAUUUCAACUGGGAGGCGCUUGACUUUGGUGACCACGACCUCUCCGACCUGGACAGCCUCAUCACCGAAGAGGAGGUGAGAGCCGCCAUCAACGAGAUGCCCAAUGACAAAGCCCCCGGCCCGGACGGUUUCACUGGAGCUUUCUUCAAGAAAUGUUGGCCCACCAUCAAGUCCGACUUCAUGUUGGCCAUUCAUUCCUUCAACAAUUUGCACUCGGCCAACCUCCAUUGGCUCAACUCCGCGAACAUCGUGCUUCUACCCAAAAAAGAGGGGGCUGAGGAGAUCGGCAAUUACAGACCUAUUAGCCUCAUCCACGCCAUUCCCAAAAUCAUCGCGAAGAUCCUUGCUUUGAGGCUUGGGCCUCACAUGCAUGCCCUCAUCUCCAACGCUCAGAGCGCUUUCAUCAAAAGGAGAUGCAUUCAUGACAACUUUAUGUACGUCAGGAGCCUUGCCCGCCGUUUCCAUAAAAGCAACACUCCGGCCCUGUUAUUCAAGCUUGACAUCCACAAAGCAUUCGAUUCGGUCAGAUGGGAGUACAUCAUUAGCCUUCUGCAGUGA